GAUGAAGAACGCAGCGAAAUGCGAUAAGUAAUGUGAAUUGCAGAAUUCAGUGAAUCAUCGAAUCUUUGAACGCACCUUGCGCCCUUUGGCCAUUCCGAAGGGCAUGCCUGUUUGAGUAUCAUGAACACCUCAACUCUCAUGGCUUGCCAUGAUGAGCUUGGACUUUGGGGGUCUUGCUGGCCUGUGGUCGGCUCCUCUCAAAUGAAUCGGCUUGCCAGUGUUUGGUGGCAUCACAAGUGUGAUAACUAUCUGCGCUCGUGGUUUCCAUCAGAUAACCUCCAGUGAUGGAGGUUCGCUGGAGCUCAUAAAUGUCUCUCCUAAGCGAGGACAGCUCUUUUAAUGUUUGAUCUCAAAUCAGGUAGGACUACCCGCUGAACUUAAGCAUAUCAAUAAGCGGAGGA
rnacentral:misc_RNA from 1 species